UUCUUCUUUUGGUCAUCCCGUACUGUCAACUUACAUUCUUGAGGCGAGCUUCUGUACUUCUAACUUGAAUUGAAUUCUGAAAUGACUUCCCUCGUUCUUUAGGUGGGCGCCUGCAUUUGACUUGAAAUGUGAAAUGAAUUCUCUCGUUCUCCAGGUGGGUGCCUGUUAACUUAAAAACUUGAAAUAAAUUCCCUCGUUCUCCAGGUGGGCGCCUGAUGUUGACUUAAAACUUGAAAUGAAUUCCCUCGUUUUCCAGGUGGGCGCCUGCUGACUUAAAACUGAAAUGAAUUCCCUCGUUUUCCAGGUGGGCGCAUGAUGACUUAAAACUAAAAUGAAUUCCCUCGUUUUCCAGAUGGGCGCCUGAUGACUUAAAAACUUGAAAUAAAUUUCCUCGUUCUCCAGGUGGGCGCCUGUGCUAACUUAAAACAGAAAUGAAUUCCCUCAUUCUCCAGGUGGGCGCCUGAUGUUGACUUAAAAACUUGAAAUUAAUUCCCUCGUUUUCUAGGUGGGUGCCUGAUG
rnacentral:lncRNA from 1 species